rnacentral:rRNA from 1 species
AUGAUGCAUACAUGUCAACUAUGGGUGUUGGCUCCAACAAUUCGUAUUGGUCUCAAAUGCAAGCAAACAAUUGAGUUGGAUGAUGAUGAUGAGGAGGAGGAGGAGGAUGCAUCAAGUGAUGACGGCAAGAGAAGCCCCACACCCAACUCCGUUUCAUACUCGAAGCCAAAACGACCGGAUGGGUGCAAGAAAGACGCAAAAGAAAGGAAGAAGAGGAAAGGAGAUGAUGAGCUCAAAAAUGCUAUGGAAGCUAUUGUGAAGGUAAGAAAAGAAGGCAACGAGGUGAGGAAAAUGGCAAGGAACCAAGAUGCCGCGGCCGAGGAGAGGAGGUUGGCAGCCGAGGAGACGAGGGUGGCGGCCGAGGAGAGGAAGGUGGCUUUGGAGGAGAGGAAGGUGAGCAAUGAGGAGCGAACUAGAUUGUUGAAAUGGGAGAAGCACUUGUUCUUCUUGGACAUAUCUAUCCUCAAUGAGGCGCAAAAGGAAUAUGUCAAUCUUGAUCGUGAAGAAGUCUUGAUCCAAAAAAAAGUUAUGAUUCACGCAAUGGGUGGCGGUGGCCUUGGCGCCAUGGGUGGCUUCGAAGCUACCGUGGGCGGCUUAGGUGCCAUAGGUGGCUUUGGAGCUACCAUGAAAACCAUGGGAGCCAUGGGUGGCUUUGGAGCACCGCCUGGCGCCAUAGCCGCCAUGGGAAGCAUGAGUUUUGCUUCUCUUAUGGGAGGCAUGGGUGCUCCUCGUCGUACGUAUUUGGGAAGCAAAUGCAUCCAUGGUUUGUGUGUGUGA